CCUACGGGAGGCAGCAGUGAGGAAUAUUGGUCAAUGGUCGGGAGACUGAACCAGCCAAGCCGCGUGAGGGAUGAAGGUACAGAGUAUCGUAAACCUCUUUUGUCAGGGAACAAAGGCGGGGACGUGUCCCCGGAUGAGUGUACCUGAAGAAAAAGCAUCGGCUAACUCCGUGCCAGCAGCCGCGGUAAUACGGAGGAUGCGAGGUGUAUCCGGAUUUAUUGGGUUUAGAGGGUGCGCAGGCGGUCUGUUAAGUCAGCGGUAAAAGCCCGGGGCACAACCCCGGCCCGCCGUUGAAACUGGCAGUCUCGAGUUGGAGAGAAGUAUGCGGAAUGCGCGGUGUAGCGGUGAAAUGCAUAGAUAUCGCGCAGAACUCCGAUUGCGAAGGCAGCAUGCCGGCUCCACACUGACGCUGAGGCACGAAAGCGUGGGUAUCGAACAGGAUUAGAUACCCUAGUAGUC
rnacentral:rRNA from 1 species